CCAGAAUCUUGACUGUAAUAGGGUUCGCAUUUUAAUGGCAAUCCUUGAAAACCUAAAAGCCUUAGAAACUAGAAGAAAUCAAUGUUUAAUGAUGGAACUUGAAACAUUAUGACAAAGGAGAAGGAGCUGAAAGGAAUUUUUAGACAUCACUGAGUGCAACCAAUUCAUCUUCUGCAUGAGCAAACAUAGAAGGAGAGAGAGAAAUGACA
rnacentral:lncRNA from 10 species